UACGGAGGGGGCUAGCGUUGUUCGGAAUUACUGGGCGUAAAGCGCACGUAGGCGGCUUUGCAAGUCAGAGGUGAAAGCCCGGGGCUCAACCCCGGAAUUGCCUUUGAGACUGCAUCGCUAGAAUUGUGGAGAGGUAAGUGGAAUUCCGAGUGUAGAGGUGAAAUUCGUAGAUAUUCGGAAGAACACCAGUGGCGAAGGCGACUUACUGGACACAUAUCGACGCUGAGGUGCGAAAGCGUGGGGAGCAAACAGG
rnacentral:rRNA from 1 species